GGAGAUUCAUGGAUGUUACCCUCUCGCCCCCCUCCACACACACUGGUACCUUCAACUGCUGAUAGAAGAAAGGGAAAGAUUCAGAACCAAAGUGAUGAACAAAUUCAAUUUCAGAUUACUAAACCAAAGUACAGGGUCAAGUGCCUGGUUGGAAGAAGGGAAGACCUACGUAAUCUAUUUUAUUCCCUGGUUCAUUCCUGCGUCAAGUUGGUAAGUGAGCUAAAAGUGAUUUGGUGCCUAAAUAUCCAGGGGUGUUUAUAUAGGACGCUAUCAUUCACACAAUGAACAAACCUCAACCAGAAGAUCGUUUUCCAUGUGCUUGCGUGGGCAUGGAACAUACAAGUUCUUCUGAGUGUUGG